UAAGAUGAUGAUGAUGAUAAAUUUACACAAUUUUCAAAUCGAGAAAACCAUAAAAGGAAAUCGAAGAGACAUCAAAUGAUAUCUCUUUCGAUAAAGAGAAUGUACGUUGUUAUUGAUGGUUACGUAAACGCCCACGCCGAGCGACGAAUAUCUUCUCAUCAAGGGAUUGUAUAUCGCAAAUUGGACGAGGAGGAGGAUUAUUACCAGCUGUCACAGAUACUGGCAUCGCGCCGAGCCUCACAAAACUUGGAAACCCGACCACAGGCUACAACAUUUACGACUCGAGAGUCAGACAAUAAUUGUCGCUUGAGAACCAAUCAUUUGUGGAUACCCGAGAAUUUCUGCCGUUUGCCUGACUGCGAAGGACAUCUUUGAGUUUAGAAAUGACUCUGAGAAAUCAUUUCGCAAAAACUACACGAGAGAAAUUCGUCAGAAGGAUUUUUCCCAACCAACUUUGACACGCGGACUCUUUUGUAUGCAUCAUUUAUGUGUGAAGCUUAACUUUUUGCGCUAUGUCGCACCUACUAUUAUCGCACUAUAUAUUUAUCCUUCAUAUAUGAACCAUUCUCUCAUUUACUCUCCUUUACUUUGGUGAAAACAACUGCAAUAUACGAGACAGAAACAUUUCUUCAAAUCGCGAGAAA